GGUAGCCUACUGCUGGUUAGAGCGUCCGCCUAGGAUGCGGGAGGUCGUAGGUUCGAUCCCGGGUGAGUCA